UCCAUUUCUUAACACUG
rnacentral:miRNA from 1 species